CAAGACUAAGUGCUGACGCUGGAGGAAUGUGCAGAGCUCUCUGCUCAUACCUGCCUGCAAACAAGGGAAGGAGCAGCCCAGAGCCCUUGUGAAGUCCUCAGGGAAGCCCUCUGACCUGCUGGUGGUCAUGGACAGCUGCAGAACAUGUUACAUGCCUGCACCCGUGUGUCCUAUGGUAGCCAGAAGUUGUUGCAUGAGAGGAGAAAUGCAGCCCAUCACUGCUUAAACUCAUGCUGGUGAACCAGAAGUCCAUAGACAAACAUCCUUAAGAGCCCCAAGAGACUUGCUGGUUUCUCACACUUUGAAGAAUAAGAUGAAUUGCUGGCUUACCUGAGGAAGCUCAGAGGAAGACUAUCUCCAGAAAACAGCAAUAAAAUACCAGAUAGAAAAUGUAGUUGCCUUUCUCUUUUUAUUUUUUGGCAUUGUGAGUAAAGCUCUUUCCUCUUUGCUUCAAAGAGCUGAGGAGUAAAGUAGUGUUUGAUUUGAUUCUUCUGCUCCUCUUUUCUAAAUCAGAAUGACACCUGUGUUGCCUUCCAUACCAACAGUCAAUUUAUCAUUAAAUACGUCAACUGCCGAAUACAAUUCAAAUAUUGGUUGAAGAAAACAAAAGCUCUUUAAAGAGAAACUGGAUUUUCAAAGGUAACUGCUGUAAGGCUGCAUUCCUUCUAAGGGUAGAAUCUAAGCUGCUGCUGACACAUCAGAUUAGAAAAAUAAUCAGCUGCAUCUUCAAAGAACAUUCUCGUCUUCUGCAUUUAAUUCUUUUGGGCCUACAUGUAAAUAAAGUGCUUAAUUCUUUAAAUCCAGAUGACCAGCUGAGUUUUACUUCUUUCACUUCUUUCACUUUUAAAGUCUCAAAAGCAAGGAGACCAUGGCUUUGUUUCAUACCUUGCUAUAGGACAAGAACUUCCACAGUUGAGACCUUAGACAUAGGACCUCCUCCUAGACAUUCUAUUGAAGACCUGAACAAUGAUCUGACCUCACUUAACGGCUCUGUGUCACCUUCUCUCCCCUCUUCUUCUCACAUUCUCCCCACAUACUUAUACUGCCAAGCUCUAUUUGCCUUUUACUGAGUGCAUUCUCCUCAGAUUUCCUUAAUGCAGCACACGACACAUGCUCACAUACUCACCUUGUGCCUUUGACUUUAGUCAGGAAAUGUGCCCUGCCCUUCUCUCCAAGGUUCUUGCCUCCACAGCAGAGGUUCCUCAGCUGCUCAGGAACAGAUGCUGAGCUGCCAUGAAUUAGAGGCAGGUGCAUUAAAGGAAAUUGAAAUUGACCCUUGUUUUCUCCACGCUCCAACAGUGAAAGAGCUUGGUGUGCUGCUGAGCUAGGCCUGGAGAAGGAGGAAGAACUGCCCAGAGAAAGUCAGCACAGAAAGCUGGGAGGGGAAGAAACCAAAGUUGUCCCAAGCUGAACUCUUGUCACCAAUUAACCACUUGUAUUUAAUUAUGCUCAUUUAAAAGACACAAAAAAAAAAAAAAAAAUCUCUGCAUUCAAAGGUGGAAAGGAUGAAAACCUGUAAAUAAAGGACUCUAAAAGGAACCAUUUGGGAUAUAUAACUUCAACUUCUGAUUAUUAUUAAUUUUUACAUUUU
ensembl:lncRNA